rnacentral:lncRNA from 1 species
GCAGGCUCCCGGAAGUAGCGCCCAGGGUCAGUGUGCACUUCUGUUUCCGAGGUGGGCUUCGUUUCUAGUCUUCCCUGGCGCUAUGAGUUCUUUCCAGGGACAGAUGGAGGAAUAUCCAACCAUCUCCAUUGACCGCUUCGACAGAGAGAACCUGAAAGCCCGUGCCUACUUCCUUUCGCACUGCCACAAGGAUCACAUGAAAGGAUUAAGGGCUCCUUCCAUGAAAAGAAGGCUGGAAUGCAGUUUGAAGGUCUUCCUGUACUGUUCUCCAGUCACUAAGGAGCUGCUCUUAACCAGCCCAAAGUACAAGUUCUGGGAAAACCGAAUUCUGCCAACACUGUCUCUGAAGUCACACCAGCCCCCCUCACUCUGCUUGGGUGCUGCACCCAGAAGACCCCGUGCUGGGAGGAGCCUUUCAUCGUGCAUGUUUAGUCUCCACAUCCCGUCUGCCAACUGGAAGUAUGCACAGGCGCACACACAGGAACAUGCACACACUCAGGAGUUCUAGCUAGUGCCAGUGCCUUAGCUCAGCCGUAACAGGCCCCAUGCGUGUCACCACACACAUAUACAUGCAAAUGGAAAAAGGAGGGAGAAUUAAAGCUAUCAAAAAUCUCUUCA